GGGGGGCUGCUGGAGCAGGCUUCCUUAUUCCUGUAAUUAAUUUGUUGUUGUUGUUGUUGUUAUUAUCAUCGCCGUCGUCGUUAUUUAGGCUUCCACCCGUCGGAGGUUCACCGAAGAAGGAGUCCGGAGGGUGAGGAUUAAGCAGGAAGCCCCCAGCCGUGCAUUACCGAGGAGUUCCGUCCAUCCAGGGAACGGGAAGCGGUGUGAGUUGAGCGGCCCCUCGGGACCGGGGCUGAGCCGCCGCCCUCCCCACCGGCCUGGGUGUAAGAAGGGCUGGGUGCUGCCCUCGCCUGCUGCUGGGAGUUUGUGGGACCCCCGGCUUUUGUGUGUAAAUCAGUUUCUACCCAUUCUAACUGCAGAGAAAAUCUUUGAGACCAGAGCUCGAGGACAAAACCCCGAAGGGCACUGUAAGAAGAGGAACGAAGGACAAACAUCCUGCCUGGCACCCUCUGUGCUGAUGGAAAACAUGAACACCAGUUUGCAAUCAGCUGCUGAUCACCAGCUCUGCUGGAGGCUGCCACAUUCGGCAGGCUGUUGGCUAAACCCUUCAUGGCAGCGUUCCUUUGCCCUGUCCGCCCCAAGACACCUAGAGUCAAGUAACUGGAGGAAUCUGUGGAUUCAACUAACCUACACAAUGUAAAACAGAAACCCAUUCAAAUACUGUUCGUAAUUUUUUCUAAUGCACCUUUAAUAUUACCUUCAACAUUCAAACCCAAAGCUAGCAGAUUUUCCAGUUAGUCCAAGGUAAAGUAUUCAAUUUUUCAGAUGUACCUAGUUCAAAUAUGCCAGAUCUCUCCAAUUUCCUACUUAUGUGUUAGAUUUCCCAUGACAAUAGCUUGUCAGAAAAUGUGAAUGAGUCAUAACUCCUAAGCCCUGUGAAACAAUUUACAGGGAUUUAGAAAUAGGCAGGGAUUAUCACAGUUCACACGCAAAAUUAAUACCACCUUUUUCAAAUUCUAGCAGCAUUCAUUCAAACAAUAUUCUUGCUUUGCUUUGAAAAUUAUGUAGCUCUUGUUUUAGCGGUCAUGUUUUUUGUACAAAAAUUCCAGCAAGGAUAUUAAUAGCCUCCUUAAUUAUUAAAAACAACAAGUAAGAUGCUCCCUAUGCCAUAGAAAAUUCUAGCUUCUCUAGAUUUCAAUUUACUAUGUUUAUGAUGAUGGUCAAACACUGAAUGAAAAACUCAGUGGGUCUAUACAAUAUGAAUAGAAAUUAUUCAGAAGUUAGAUUAUUAGACCUAAUUUUCUUCUUUAUGCAGGAAAACCAAGCAGCUGUACUUCAAAAAGGCGUGCAUUAGGUCCAAAACGGGAGAAGUACUGAAAUGGAAGCAAAUAGAUGGAAGUGAUUACUUUAAUUUCCAAAUCUUAAAUACAAAUAUUUAAAUGUAAUUUCUGCAGGAUGUCCAGCAAACAAAACCCGUUAGAGCUUUGAGUCUCUCAGCACUUUUAGAGAUCUCUGCUGUAUAGUUUUUCUUGUGUCUCAGCAGACUUUCAUCUGAUGUUCCUAAUGAGAUUAAAUGCAUGAAAAUACACUUAUUCAGUUUUUCUGAACUACAGCAAUGGCUGUGUUUCCUAUAAUGAUGUUGAAUGUCCUUUUCAGCUACUAAUACCAAGUCUUUGGCAGUAAGGCAAGGAAUGUCUCUUCAUCUGGGUGAAAUGCUGACCUCACCCAGUGGUGGAGGUGGAGUUUUGUCAUUGAUUUCAGUAGGUCCGAGAUUUCCCUGCAUCUGGUAUAAAAUCACAGCCAUUCUUCAUGACAAGUAAAUAUAUAGUAAUGGCACAAAAGAUUCUAAAUUCAGAAUGAAAUUGGAAUUAACUGUGACAAAACCAUGUUGCACAAAAAUUUUACAUUCACUAAGAUUUCAGAAGCAUUGCUUUGAUCUUGUGGUUCAUAAAGGCAUCAAGAGAGGUUUAAUACCUUUUGUAUUUAUAAGGUAUUUAUCUAAACUUUUUCAUGUGGUACACUGAAAAUCUUAGGCCAUUUGUCAAUCUUUCAAUCAGUAAAUUAUAUGGUGAUAAAAACCCCCUCCCAUGUACAUUGUCAUCCUGCCUUCCUUAUAGAUUGUUGUUGCAUUUCAACAAUUUAACUCAAAUAAACAGUCUCUGAAAAGGAAAAGUUCAGAUUAUCAGUGAGAAAAAAUGGUUUCAGCUUCCAAAGGGUAUUCACAGCAUAGGAGUUGAAAAGGGUUUUGUUUUAUGGGUUUUGUUUGUUUUAAUGUGGAUCUCCAGAAAGUUGCAGAACCGCAUCUCUUUCAAAAGUUUCUGAUGAACACUAGGAUCCAGGUUCUCACAUGUAAAACCUCUAUGUUUAUGUGGGGUUUUGUUUGGUUGUUUCAGGUUUUUUGGGUUUUUUUUAAUCUAGGAAAAGUAUAAUUUGAUCAAAUUCUUGCCCCACAUUAUGCUAGCAUACUGCUUUGGACUUCAGUGAGGAAGAAGCUUAAUCUUACCCAGAUUAGGUUGAUAUAAAGGGCAUUCUACCUCCAAAAUUAUUGCUAAAGUAUUAAAAUAAUUAACCUCUUUUCUUGCCUUUCUUAAAUUGCUGGAUUUUGCUCCUGCCCUGCCACCUAGCAGCCUGCUUUUGGAAAACAUAACUCAGUGUCUUCUUAAAAUUCUGUAAGGAAACUUAUUCCAACAGAAGAUGUUUACCUCUUGUCUAAGGACACUAAGAAAUUCCAAAUGCUUGACAUACCCUCCAAAAUUAACCACUGGAAAGCAUAUAAAACAUGGCAAAACAAGACAUCUCUAGAUCACCUUUUAGAGUUGUUAGCACUUGAACAUUACAUGUCUGAGUCAUUAGAUUUUUUCCCCCUUCCUUUUUCGCCCCUCUACACCAUUAGAUUUUUUUCCUCAUUGGAAGUGCAACAUGAAAAUGGAAAAUAACAUGAACUUGUACCCACAUUAAACCUGUCUUUUUGUGUUUGCCUUUGUUACAAGCAGCAAGGCAUGUAGCUCACUCAAAAUCAAUAGUGGCAUGAACUCAUUUGGUCUCUCCCAGGACAACAGAAUUUGCCAGCUGGUCAGAAGGACUUUCAUGGCUGGCAAAACCUUGCUGGUCUUCAGAGCUGUGUUUGACGUGGCACAACGGAACGCUAAACUGACCUCAUCAGCUCAGAUACCUCCCUGUCCUUUGGGAAAACAGAGUUGGGCAAUCUAGCCUGUUCUAAUAACUCCUGGCAAAUGCAGGCCAACCUUUUCAGUCCAGCAGUCACAGCUGGGUAACUUGUACGUCAGUCCCAUUUCUCGGGACGUAAAAUGGGAAUAGGCUUCCAAGCAAUCUUGCUGUAUAAAUGCUACA